rnacentral:rRNA from 1 species
UACGGAGGAGGCAAGCGUUAUCCGGAAUUAUUGGGCGUAAAGAGCGCGUAGGCGGUCCGAUAAGUCGGCUGUGAAAGUCAGGGGCUCAACCCUUGAAAGCCGGCCGAUACUGUCGGACUAGAGUCCGGAAGAGGCAAGUGGAAUUCCCGGUGUAGCGGUGAAAUGCGCAGAUAUCGGGAGGAACACCAAUGGCGAAGGCAGCUUGCUGGGACGGUACUGACGCUGAGGCGCGAAAGCGUGGGGAGCAAACAGG